rnacentral:rRNA from 1 species
UACGAAGGGGGCUAGCGUUGUUCGGAAUUACUGGGCGUAAAGGGCGCGUAGGCGGUUCGCUAAGUUGAAUGUGAAAACUCUGGGCUUAACCCAGAGCCUGCAUUCAAUACUGGCGGGCUAGAGUUCUGGAGGGGAUAGCGGAAUUCCUGGUGUAGCGGUGAAAUGCGUAGAUAUCAGGAGGAACACCGGUGGCGAAGGCGGCUAUCUGGACAGAGUCUGACGCUGAGGCGCGAAAGCUAGGGGAGCAAACAGG